UACGUAGGGUGCGAGCGUUGUCCGGAAUUAUUGGGCGUAAAGAGCUUGUAGGUGGCUCGUUGCGUCGGGAGUGAAAACCUGCGGCUUAACCGCAGGCCUGCUUCCGAUACGGGCGAGCUAGAGUUCGGGCAGGGGAGACUGGAAUUCCUGGUGUAGCGGUGGAAUGCGCAGAUAUCAGGAGGAACACCGGUGGCGAAGGCGGGUCUCUGGGCCGAUACUGACACUGAGAAGCGAAAGCGUGGGGAGCGAACAGGAU
rnacentral:rRNA from 1 species